rnacentral:rRNA from 1 species
AGAAUGAACGCUGGCGGCGUGCCUUACACAUGCAAGUCGAGCGAGGCGGUUUGGGGGUAACUCCGGACCAGUCGAGCGGCGAACGGGUGAGUAACGCGUGGGUGACCUACCUCGAGGUGGGGGAUAACCCGGGGAAACUCGGGCUAAUACCGCAUAACAUCUAUGGAUCAAAGGGGGCCGCAAGGCUUCCGCCAUGAGAGGGGCCCGCGUUCGAUUAGCUAGUUGGUAGGGUAAUGGCCUACCAAGGCGACGAUCGAUAGCCGGCCUGAGAGGGUGAUCGGCCACACUGGAACUGAGACACGGUCCAGACUCCUACGGGAGGCAGCAGUGGGGAAUUUGCGCAAUGGGCGAAAGCCUGACGCAGCAACGCCGCGUGGAGGAUGAAGGUCCUUGGAUUGUAAACUCCUGUCAGCAGGGAAGAAAUCUGCCGGUGAAUACCCCGGUAGUUUGACUGUACCUGCAGAGGAAGCCCCGGCUAACUCUGUGCCAGCAGCCGCGGU